rnacentral:rRNA from 1 species
AGCGAACGCUGGCGGCAGGCUUAACACAUGCAAGUCGAGCGCCCCGCAAGGGGAGCGGCAGACGGGUGAGUAACACGUGGGAACGUACCCUUCAGUUCGGAACAACCCAGGGAAACUUGGGCUAAUACCGGAUACGUCCGUAAGGAGAAAGAUUUAUCGCUGAAGGAUCGGCCCGCGUCUGAUUAGCUAGUUGGUGAGGUAAUGGCUCACCAAGGCUACGAUCAGUAGCUGGUCUGAGAGGAUGAUCAGCCACAUUGGGACUGAGACACGGCCCAAACUCCUACGGGAGGCAGCAGUGGGGAAUAUUGGACAAUGGGGGCAACCCUGAUCCAGCCAAGCCGCGUGAGUGAUGAAGGCCCUAGGGUUGUAAAGCUCUUUUAGCAGGGAAGAUAAUGACGGUACCUGCAGAAAAAGCCCCGGCUAACUUCGUGCCAGCCGCCGCAGUAAUAC